CACCUCUCAGGGUCACAGCUGGAGAGUUUCCAGUACUCUACCUGUCUUAAUUACGGGAGGAAGAAUCAAGCAGAGGCCUAUCCAUUCCAUUCCUAGUUUGGCCAGUGGCUAGCAAGUGGCAGGCAAUCUGCUACAAGU